GAUGAACGCUAGCGGCAGGCUUAAUACAUGCAAGUCGAGGGGCAGCAUGAGUGUAGCAAUACAUUUGAUGGCGACCGGCAAACGGGUGCGGAACACGUACACAACCUUCCUAUAAGUGGGGAAUAGCCCAGAGAAAUUUGGAUUAAUACCCCGUAACAUAAUGAUGUGGCAUCACAUUAUUAUUAUAGCUUCGGCGCUUAUUGAUGGGUGUGCGGCUGAUUAGAUAGUUGGCGGGGUAACGGCCCACCAAGUCUACGAUCAGUAGCUGAUGUGAGAGCAUGAUCAGCCACACGGGCACUGAGACACGGGCCCGACUCCUACGGGAGGCAGCAGUAAGGAAUAUUGGUCAAUGGACGCAAGUCUGAACCAGCCAUGCCGCGUGAAGGAUUAAGGUCCUCUGGAUUGUAAACUUCUUUUAUCUGGACGAAAAAGGCUAUUCUAGUCACUUGACGGUACCAGAUAGAAUAAGCACCGGCUAACUCCGUCG
rnacentral:rRNA from 1 species